CGAAAGCCUGACGGAGCGACGCCGCGUGAGGGAGGAAGGCCCUUGGGUUGUAAACCUCUUUUGAUGGGGAAGAAUUCUGACGGUACCCAUCGAAUCAGCAUCGGCUAACUCCGUGCCAGCAGCCGCGGUAAUACGGAGGAUGCAAGCGUUAUCCGGAAUUAUUGGGCGUAAAGCGUCCGCAGGUGGCUCUUCAAGUCGGCUGUCAAAGCAUGGAGCUUAACUCCAUAGAGGCGGUGGAAACUGAAAGGCUAGAGGCCGGUAGGGGUAGUGGGAAUUCCCAGUGUAGCGGUGAAAUGCGUAGAGAUUGGGAAGAACAUCGGUGGCGAAAGCGCACUACUGGGCAGGACCUGACACUGAGGGACGAAAGCUAGGGGAGCGAAAGGGAUUAGAUACCCCUGUAGUCCUAGCCGUAAACGAUGGAGACUAGGCGUAGCUUGUAUCGACCCGAGCUGUGCCGAAGCUAACGCGUUAAGUCUCCCGCCUGGGGAGUACGCACGCAAGUGUGAAACUCAAAGGAAUUGACGGGGGCCCGCACAAGCGGUGGAGUAUGUGGUUUAAUUCGAUGCAACGCGAAGAACCUUACCAGGGCUUGACAUCUGUAGUACCUGAGUGAAAGCUUGGGGUGCCUUCGGGAGCUACAAGACAGGUGGUGCAUGGCUGUCGUCAGCUCGUGUCGUGAGAUGUUGGGUUAAGUCCCGCAACGAGCGCAACCCUCGUUCUUAGUUGCCAGCAUUAAGUUGGGCACUCUAGGGAGACUGCCGGUGACAAACCGGAGGAAGGUGGGGAUGACGUCAAGUCAGCAUGCCCCUUACGUCCUGGGCAACACACGUACUACAAUGGUCGAGACAGAGGGCAGCGACCUCGCAAGAGCAAGCGAAUCUCAUCAAACUCGGCCUCAGUUCAGAUUGCAGGCUGCAACUCGCCUGCAUGAAGGAGGAAUCGCUAGUAAUCGCCGGUCAGCAUACGGCGGUGAAUUCGUUCCCGGGCCUUGUACACACCGCCCGUCACACCAUGGGAGCUGGCCACGCCCGAAGUCGUUACCCUAACCCCGAAAGGGGAGGGGGAUGCCGAAGGCAGGGCUAGUGACUGGGGUGAAGUCGUAACAAGGUAGCCGUGCCGGAAGGUGUGGCUGGAUCACCUCCUUU
rnacentral:rRNA from 1 species